rnacentral:rRNA from 1 species
CCCUUAGAUGUCCUGGGCUGCACGCGCGCUACACUGACGAACUCAACGAGCUUAUCACCUUGGCAGAGAUGUCUGGGUAAUCUUUUGAAAGUUCGACGUGCUGGGGAUAGAUGAUUGUAAUUAUUCGUCUUGAACGAGGAAUUCCUAGUAAGUGUGAGUCAUCAGCUCGCGCUGAUUACGUCCCUGCCCUUUGUACACACCGCCCGUCGCUCCUACCGAUUGAAUGGUCCGGUGAGGUUCUCGGAUUUUUUCUGUUGUUUGGUUCGCUAAACGAUUGAAGAGAGAAGUUACCCAAACCUUACCAUUUAGAGGAAGGAGAAGUCGUAACA